ACGAUGACGACUACUAUGCUGAUAAUGAGGAUUAAUAUCUCGCUACCUGAAGCAUCUUUCUCAACAACGGGGCCAUCGCCGUCGUUUCCGCCACUCCCAGAAUCACCUCCGCACUCUGUUUGGUUAAAAAAGUGUCGACGAAGGGCGCCACCGUUUUCUCGACGAAUGAACCGAAGCCUAGACGAAAGUUUCUGGUGAUGUUCCCUAUCUCUUGCGCUGCAAAAAUACAAGGAAAGACUGCCGACUUCUGCUCUUUCUGGAAGCGCGCAAACUCCCUCUUAUCGUGCAAGAAAGUAGCCGCUCUCAGGAGUGCCAGGAGUACA